rnacentral:ncRNA from 1 species
CACGGGAGUCCCGGGACGGGGACUGAGAGUGGGCACGCCAGCCCUUACCGUCACACCUGAUCCGGGUCAUGCCGGCGAAGGGAG